UGAUAGUCUCUAGCAAUGGUCUCCAAAGUGGGGUGCGUGCACCACAGGGGGUGCGCCAGAGGAUCCCAAGGGGUGUGCGGCAGGAGGAGCACUGCUGGACGGCACUCCGCCAUUUUUUUUUCUUCGGCGGCAGCUCUGCAUGCCUGCUGCAGGUCUUUCCCUCUCCCGCUGCCAGUGG